UUGACCUCCUAAUGUCUGUAGCUAACCAUCUGUCAUUGCUUCCUGGAUUUUAGACUAGGGCAAAACAGUGGAGCUUGCCCCUGCCUGUCCUGACGUGACUAGCUCUGAGUAGCCACACUGAAAUCCUUCAGUGUAAUUGACUGCAAGUUAAGAAGUAGCAGUUUUCUUAUGUCGAGGCAAUCUGUACUCCUCUCCAUUUUUUGGAAGCACUGAUGUUGCUUUUGGAGCUUAAGAAUGAGAUACAGCAGUUUGGCUGACUUGAGAUACAGCAAUUUCUUAAUUAUCUAAAGCAAUAAGUAAAAGGAUCCAUCAUUAGAUUCAGAGCUCAUCUCAGAACUUCAUUUUAGCCAAAACUUUCACUUUAAUCAUAUCUUCAGACUCACUAACAAAUAACCGGAGAGAGGUAUAUUAGUAAGUAAUGAAACUGCCAGUGGUGGUCAGCUGACAGAAGAGGAGGGAUUCAGACUGGAAUAUUCUGCCCUGAGUAAUUGACAGUUGACUGGACUUUACACAGUAACUAGCCGGUUUGUUGUCUCUGUGUCUUACUACAGAGGGAGUUGUACUCAACUGGCCAAAUUCUGGCCCUUAGUAUUUCCUCCUUUCUUGCAUGCGAUACCUAAGUUUUCAGUCUCCUUUAUAUGAUCCCUGUAUCCUGAUAGAGUGUGUCACUGACCUAAACAUUUGAAAGAAAUGUACACCAGUAUAAAAUAUUUGAUACUGGUAGAAACUUGAACUUUGUGUUUUUAUGAAAAUUCAUUUAUGAGAAUAUGUAAUAUAACUAAAAAGAGUGUUU
rnacentral:lncRNA from 1 species